rnacentral:rRNA from 1 species
UGCAGUCGAGGGGCAGCGAAUCUAGCUUGCUAGAUGUCGGCGACCGGCGAACGGGUGCGUAACGCGUAUAGAAUCUGCCUUGUACAGGAGGAUAGCCUUUAGAAAUGAAGAUUAAUACUCCAUAAUGUUUAGAGAUGGCAUCAUUUUUAAAUUAAAGAUUUAUUGGUACAAGAUGACUAUGCGUCCUAUUAGCUAGAUGGUAAGGUAACGGCUUACCAUGGCAACGAUAGGUAGGGGGUCUGAGAGGAUUAUCCCCCACACUGGUACUGAGACACGGACCAGACUCCUACGGGAGGCAGCAGUGAGGAAUAUUGGUCAAUGGAGGCAACUCUGAACCAGCCAUGCCGCGUGCAGGAAGACUGCCCUAUGGGUUGUAAACUGCUUUUAUACAGGAAGAAACAGAACUACGUGUAGUUCCUUGACGGUACUGUAAGAAUAAGCACCGGCUAACUCCGUGCCAGCAGCCGCGGUAAUACGGAGGGUGCAAGCGUUAUCCGGAAUCAUUGGGUUUAAAGGGUCCGCAGGCGGUCAAUUAAGUCAGAGGUGAAAUCCCAUAGCUUAACUAUGGAACUGCCUUUGAUACUGGUUGACUUGAGUUAUACGGAAGUAGAUAGAAUAAGUAGUGUAGCGGUGAAAUGCAUAGAUAUUACUUAGAAUACCGAUUGCGAAGGCAGUCUACUACGUAUAUACUGACGCUCAUGGACGAAAGCGUGGGGAGCGAACAGGAUUAGAUACCCUGGUAGUCCACGCCGUAAACGAUGGACACUAGUUGUUGGGAUUUGUCUCAGUGACUAAGCGAAAGUGAUAAGUGUCCCACCUGGGGAGUACGAUCGCAAGAUUGAAACUCAAAGGAAUUGACGGGGGCCC